GACGAACCGUGCGAACGUUAUUCGGAAUCACUGGGCUUAAAGCGCGUGUAGGCGGGCGGGCACGUCCGACGCUGAAAUCCCCCGGCUCAACCGGGGAAUGGGCGGGGAUACGACCAGCCUGGAGGGACGGAGGGGGACCUGGAACUUCCGGUGGAGCGGUGAAAUGCGUUGAGAUCGGAAGGAACGCCCGUGGCGAAAGCGAGGUCCUGGACGUCUACUGACGCUGAGACGCGAAAGCCAGGGGAGCGAACGGG
rnacentral:rRNA from 1 species